UGUAUGGAAUUAUUUCAGGGGUGUAAGAAGCAACUUAAAGCCUAAAUCGAGCUUUGUUUUUUGGGUGGAUUUUGUAAAUUCCCAAUUUGAGUUGGAGGGUUAUUCUUGUGAGUGAGGAGGAGUGUUUAAUUUUGAGGAUUUUUGCUGGGAUUAUGAGUUUCAACCCAGGAUGUUCGUAGAGAUCGUUCGAGAUUCUCUGGCCAAAAUAGUCGCCGGCAGGCCAAACCCCAGCAGUGGGUCGCAAGAGGUCCUGGGACCUUAAGUUCCCCUCCAUCUAACUUCAACGUGUAUGUUGGUCAAAAUGUCGGGGAUGGAUUUGAGAGGCCGGGGCAAUUGGACAGUAGAGAAGAGAGAGGCAAGGGUGGGCAGGACACAGUUCUUGGUGAAGCAAGAGAAAUCAUCGAAACUCGAUCCAACAGAACUCAGGAAGCUUUUGUAUGAGCUUGGAGAUCAGUUGUUUACAGGCACCUGUCGCUUUAGUCCUAAAAACCACAGAACUAAAGAGCCCAGGCUAAAGCCUGCGAAUGGGCAUUGCGGUGAUCAAAUAUCCUGUAAUCAUGGUAGUAGAUAAUGUGGAUCUAAGGCCAAGAUUUGUGUCUCUGUGUAGGAGAGAGCCCAUGUUCUGUCAAUUGUCCAAUCAAUGGAAUAUCAUCAUUGGGAGAUAUCUGGAGCUGUUAUAGAGAUUUCCAAGCCAAAGUCUUAUCAUGGAGAUUGUGUGGCACAUAUAUCUGUUAUACCUUAGCAGACGGGUUCAGCUGAAAACUUUAUUCAAGCAUUCAUUAUGAACUUCUCA